rnacentral:lncRNA from 1 species
UUCCAAGACAAACUAGAUAAGAUGCAGAUUGGAUCAGACGAAGAUGUGAAUGACCUCAACUAUGAUUAUGACAAUGAACAGUGCGUAGCACGUGGUGGAAAUUAAUAGAUGGGAUGGUGGACAGUGGAAGGGAUAAUGAUGCAGCGGCGGCGUGACUAAUGUGAACAGAACUCGAAACUCUAAAGGAACUAGACGCUAAGACCAGCAACUCGACACGGCGAUGCAACCGAUAAUUCAAUAAUGCAACAAUGAAAAGAAAAUUGCAAAGGCUCGGUCUGGCUAGGACAAAGGAUGAAUAGAUCUAACUUUUGUUUUGUGGCUUUUUCUUGGACAAUAGGUAAGAAAAUAAAUCUAAUCUAGGAAAAACUGGAAAUUCUCACCGAGCAACCUGAAAACUGAUACCACUUGAUAGAGGUGGGGGUGUCCCGAUCUUUCGAUGAGAUGGUAACUAUCGAUUUGGUGGAGACGACUUUGACGAUCCGACUACAAACGUGCACGACGUUGCGCCUUAGCAAUCGCUAAACCAAUCUCCAGAGGUUAUUGACCACGACGGUGCACGAUCAACCUGACCACGAGGGUCUAUUCCUGCAAGCAAUCGAAGAACGAGCAAGAAUAUGAUAAAAGCAAUCUGAAUAUUGCAAAUAUGUAUGACGUAUUGAUAAAGGUGGGGAUCCGUAAGCGGUCUUGGUCUGGUCGUUGGACACAAACAAAGUACACGAAGUUGCAAUGGCUAACUUUUAACUAAACAAAUCCCAAGGAAAAGCUACUAGAUGGAUCUACUUAUAUAGGAGCAAGGGGUGGCGGCCAAGGAGGUGGGAGGACGUCCCAAGGCAGCCUAAAACUAAAUCUAGGUCGUACAAGGCUCAUGGGCCCAAGUGGAGGUGAUGUAACACCUUUGGACUUGUAGUUUGACUCGGAUUCUGCUGCAGCAUCAGAUUGUUUCGUCCACAACUCAACGCUCCGGACGAAUUUGAAGGUUAUUCCAAUUGGGUUGGAAAGUGCACGAAAUCUAGUUUCCAACAAAAAAGGAAUCACCCAAUUCGGAGUCCGUAUGAAAAACUUGUGUGCGUUUUGAGUCAGGUGUGUCUGUGCAGUCCGAAUCUGAAUCCAGAACGUGAGAGACUUGGACUCUAUCUUCUCUUGGGCCAAAAGUGACGUGAGAGAACUUUUUGGACAGCAAAUAAACAUCUCUUUCUUCCUUAUCUUCAUAUGUGGAUUGUACAAAUGUCCCAUACACCUGCAAUUAGACAAAACACAAAAGUGUGUGAAGUAUUUUUGUUCUGGAUAACAUAAAUAGAUUAUUGAAUAGUUUGCACUAGAAAUCACCUGACAAAUAUGCAUAUAUGCAAUAUUUUUGGUCAUAUCCAAGGUAGUCAUGUCCUCAUUAAAAGGCGUCACAGAACCCCACCUUGAUCAAUAAAGCUUUCAUCUUAUAUUCGCAAUAUCCAGAUUGCAAUCUCAGUUUCUUGCUUGUUCUUCGUUUGCUCGCAGGAAACAGACCCUCGUGGUCAGGUUGAUCGUGCUCCGGCGUGGUCAAUAACCUCUCGGCGUUGGUUUAGCGAUUGCUAAGGCGCGACGUCCCCGCACGUUCGUAGUCGGAUCGUCAAAGUCGACUGCCACCAAAGCGAUAUCCAUCAUCUCAUCGAAAGACGGGACACCUUUGCCUCUAUCAAGUGGUAUCAGAUUUCCAGGUUGCUAAGUGAGAUUUUACAGUUUUUCGUAGUUUAGAUCGAGUCUGUUCUUCAUACCUAUAGUCCACGAAAAAGCCACAAAAAAAUUAGGGUUAGUUCAUCAUAUGCGAACCAAUCUGAGCCUUUGCAUAAUUUUUUUAGGGUUUUGCUUUGUUGAAUUUGCGGUUGCAUCGUCGUGUCUAGUUGCUGGUCUUAGAGUCUAGUCUUUUAGAGUUUCGAGUUCUGGUCAUAAGUUGUCACGCCGCUGCCGCACCAUCAUCAUCACCCCUGCCAUCUACCACCACCGCUUAUCCGCCACCGCUUCGAAUCCGUAUCCAUAUACCACCCCAGCUGUCAUAUACCACCACCGCUGCCAUCUACCACCAUAUAUCCACCACCAAUCCGAGUUCUUGUCAUAUUAGGUUUGGUUUCGGAAAAAAAAGAGUCCGGAAACCACGCUCCAUUUAGGCCCAAAAUUUUUAGAAAACACAUUUUUCGAAAAAAUUUCCGGCUAUCCUAUUUUUAGGUGUUUCUGAGUGUUUUGAGACAGGUGCCAUUAUAGGAAGUUUUUUUUGACCCGUUUCCAGUUUUUGGGUCCGGGCAGUCGAAAAAAAAAAUUUGGUCCAAAAAAUUUCGUGCCCAUCCUGUCAGUUUGAGCUAGGAAGAGUUUUGAGACACUCGCCAUUAUAGUGAUUUUUCGCAAAAAAAAGCAGCGCAAAAAAAAAGAGCAAAAAAAAAAGAGCGAAAAAAAAUUCCAGAGUGUGCUUUUCCCUUGUUUACUUGCCGCGCCGUGAUUUUGUUGGUGUUCUAGGCUCGCGUCUCUAGCACAGUCUAGCCUAGGACCAGCACAGUACCGUCGUUGAGCGUUUAUUCAACUUUGCAUCUCUGAAUUGAUUAUUGCUGACCCUUUUUGCUACCAUAUUAUAAGCCUUCCCAGCUCCACAUACAUCUACGUCGUGCGGUUGACUCUCCCUGGUAAUCGCUCUAUCCAAGCUUUGAGAGUUUUUGACUACAACGGUUGCCGAUCACCGCCUGCUGCUGGGUAAGAACUGGUAAGAAUUUGAGAUUUGCUUGACGGAUUUGUGACACCCACCACCACCUCUUGUUAGUAGUCUGUAGGAUCAUAUUCUUGUGUGUUUCUAUUGCUGCUAACCAUGCCAGGAUCACAAGCCGACGAGACUGACUGGGAGAACAUGAUGAAUAAGGAUUUGCAUGAUAAAUUUCAGCAAAUGAUGAGUGGACAGGUGCAAGACGUGCUAAACAGAUUUGAAGAGGCCAUGGAGAAGAUAGAUGGCAUGGAGAAGACGUUCGAAACAAAGCUCGAUAACAAGUUUAAUGAAUUGCUCGCGCGUCUUCCACCACCACCACCCGCUGCACCUAACGCACCUCUCCAACAACAACAACGACGACUACCUCCACAUCGCGAAACAGACCUCCGCCGAGCGAGCCGUGUUCCUCUUGCGUUUGGCAAACUGUUGGUGCUGCUGUUGAUACUUCUAUGGCUCCUGCUGCUGAUGCGGAGGAGGAUGAUUAUGUGGGAGAUUACGAGGAUGAGGUUGCUCAAAAUCAGAACUACGUGCAACCACCUGCACCACCACCAGCAGGUCGACCUCAGGUAUAUAUUCGUAAUGGUAGGCCUGCACCACCACCUCAGGCACGAGGUGAUGUCCAUAUUCCUAAACUGAAAUUGAAUGUUCCACCAUUUGAGGGUAGAUAUGUUCCUGAUAUAUAUCUUACUUGGGAGUUAGAAACUGAACAGCAUUUUACAUGUUUACAAUAUCCCGAGGAGAGACGGGUUGCUGCUGCUGUUUGUGCUUUCACUAGUUUUGCAUGUGUCUGGUGGUCCGAACAUUGUAGAUUAUAUCCUAUUCCAACUACUUGGGCUGCUUUGAAAACUGCUAUGCGUACGCGUUGGGUUCCACCAUAUUAUCAACGUGAAUUGCUUCAAAAAUUGCAGCGUUUAAGACAAGGAAAAAAUUCUGUAGAAGAAUAUUAUCAGGAAUUACAAACUGGCAUGAUUCGAUGUGGUAUUGUUGAGGAGAAUGAAGCUAUGCUUGCACGUUUUCUGGGUGGAUUAAAUAGAGAGAUUCAGACCAUUCUAGACUAUAAGGAGUAUACUAAUAUCACUCGUUUAUUCCAUCUUGCUCGUAAAGCUGAACAUGAAGUGCAGGAUCGACAAGCAUUGGCGCGAACUAACUUUUCUGCAGGCCAACCUUCAUCAUGGACACCGCGUGCAUCUUCUACUUCAACUGCACCAGCACCUCAAUCAGGUGCCUCCUACAGCCGUGAUACAAGAAAACAGGAUCAACCACCAUUAUCUGCCAAGAGCGCACCUGCCGGGCCUGCACAGAGUUCUUCUUCUUCCAGGGCAUCAACAGGGCACACAAGUGAUAUUAUUUGUCGUCGUUGUAAGGGAGGAGGUCAUUAUGCGAGAGAAUGCAAAUCUCCGCGUGUGAUGAUUGCUACCGAGGGUGGUGGAUAUGAGUCCGCUAGUGACUAUGAUGAGGAGACUUUGGCUCUUAUUACACGUGAAGAACAUGGUGGAGAUGAUUCUGAUCAUGAGACGCAAUACAUGGCUCCUGAAGACGCUGACAGGUAUGAGUGUUUAGUUGCUCAACGUGUUUUGAGUGUGCAGGUCACACAAGCUGAGCAAAAUCAAAGGCACAAUUUGUUCCAUACCAAGGGAGUUGUGAAGGAACGUUCUGUGCGCGUCAUAAUAGAUGGAGGGAGCUGCAACAACUUGGCUAGCAUGGAGAUGGUGGAGAAGCUUUCUCUCACCACAAGACCACAUCCACAUCCUUACUACAUCCAAUGGUUCAACAACAGUGGCAAGGUUAAGGUAACACGUACUGUUCGUGUGCAUUUUAGUAUCUCUACAUAUGCUGAUUAUGUUGAUUGUGAUGUGGUACCUAUGCAAGCAUGUUCCUUAUUACUUGGUAGACCAUGGCAAUUUGAUAAAAACUCUAUACACCAUGGUAGAAACAAUCACUAUACUCUUGUUCAUAAGGAUAAAAAUAUUACUUUGCUUCCUAUGACUCCUGAUUCCAUUUUGAAAGAUAAUAUUAAUAGAGCUAAUAAAGCAAAACAGGAGAAGAAUAAGAGUGAAAAUCAGAUUGUGGCAAAAGAAUUUGAGCAACAAAUGAAGCCUAAUAAUAAACCAUCUAGUGUUGCUUCUGAAAUUAAAUUGAAAAGUGCAUGUUUAUUUGCCACCAAAUCUGAUAUUGAUGAGCUAGAUUUCAGCAAAUCUGUUUGCUAUGCUUUUGUGUGCAAAGAGGCAUUAUUUUCAUUCGAGGACGUGCCUUCCUCUUUGCCUCCUGCUGUCACUAACAUUUUGCAGGAGUUCGCUGACGUCUUUCCACAAGACGUGCCACCGGGAUUACCGCCUAUUCGAGGGAUUGACCAUCAGAUUGACUUAAUUCCCGGUGCUUCACUGCCAAACCGUGCACCAUACCGUACCAAUCCAGAGGAGACGAAGGAGAUUAUGCGUCAAGUACAAGAGCUUCUCGACAAAGGUUAUAUACGCGAAUCCCUUAGUCCUUGUGCUGUUCCUAUUAUUCUAGUGCCGAAAAAGGAUGGUACAUCAUGUAUGUGUGUUGAUUGUAGAGGCAUUAAUAAUAUUACUAUUCGUUAUCGUCAUCCUAUUCCUAGGCUCGAUGAUAUGCUUGAUGAAUUGAGUGGCUCUACAAUAUUCUCCAAAGUUGAUUUGCGUAGUGGAUACCAUCAAAUUCGUAUGAAAUUAGGAGAUGAAUGGAAAACAUCAUUUAAAACUAUGUUUGGAUUAUAUGAGUGGUUAGUCAUGCCUUUUGGGUUAACUAAUGCACCUAGUACUUUCAUGAGAUUAAUGAACGAAUUUACGUGCUUUCAUUGGACGAUUUGUGGUAGUUUACUUUGAUGACAUAUUGAUUUAUAGCAGAUCUUUGGAAGAACAUUUGGAACAUUUACAUAGCACGUUUGUUUGGUAACCUUGGGAAGUGCACCUUUUGCACCGACCGAGUAUCUUUUCUUGGCUAUGUUGUUACUCCACAGGGAAUUGAAGUUGAUAAAGCCAAGAUUGAAGCUAUUGAGAGUUGGUCGCAGCCCAAAACGGUCACACAAGUGAGGAGUUUUCUUGGCCUCGCUGGAUUCUAUAGGCGUUUUGUGAGAGAUUUCAGCACCAUUGCUGCACCUCUCAAUGAGCUUACAAAGAAAGAUGUGCCUUUUCUUUGGGGUACCGCACAGGAAGAAGCCUUCACGGUAUUGAAAGAUAAGUUGACACAUGCUCCUUUACUCCAACUUCCUGAUUUUAAUAAGACUUUUGAGCUUGAAUGUGAUGCUAGUGGAAUUGGAUUAGGAGGUGUGUUGUUACAAGAUGGCAAACCUGUUGCAUACUUUUCUGAAAAAUUGAGUGGGCCUAGUCUGAAUUAUUCUACUUAUGAUAAAGAAUUAUAUGCUCUUGUUCGGACUUUAGAAACAUGGCAACAUUAUUUAUGGCCCAAAGAAUUUGUUAUACAUUCUGAUCAUGAAUCUUUGAAACAUAUUAAAAGUCAAGCUAAACUGAAUCGUGGACAUGCUAAAUGGGUUGAAUUCAUUGAGACUUUCCCUUAUAUCAUUAAACACAAGAAGGGAAAAGAAAAUGUUAUUGCUGAUGCAUUGUCUCGUCGCUAUACUAUGCUUUCACAACUUGACUUCAAAAUAUUUGGUUUGGAGACCAUCAAAGAUCAAUAUGUGCAUGAUGCUGAUUUUAAAGAUGUAAUGCAGAAUUGUAAAGAAGGAAGAAUGUGGAACAAGUUUGUUGUUAACGAUGGAUUUGUGUUUCGUGCUAACAAGCUAUGCAUUCCAGCUAGCUCCGUUCGUCUUUUGUUGUUGCAGGAGGCGCAUGGAGGAGGACUAAUGGGACAACUUGGCGUGAAGAAGACGUAGGACGUACUUGCUACACAUUUCUUUUGGCCAAAGAUGAGACGGGAUGUUGAGCGUUUUAUUGCUCGCUGCACUACAUGUCAAAAAGCUAAGUCACGACUCAAUCCUCAUGGUUUAUAUAUGCCUUUGCCUGUACCUAGUGUUCCUUGGGAGGAUAUAACUAUGGACUUUGUUUUAGGUUUACCUCGAACAAAGAAGGGGAGGGAUAGCAUAUUUGUUGUCGUGGAUAGAUUCUCGAAAAUGGCACACUUUAUACCAAGUCAUAAAAGCGAUGAUGCUGUUAAUGUUGCUGAUUUGUUCUUUCGUGAAAUUAUUCGCUUGCAUGGUGUGCCAAAAACUAUUGUUUCAGAUAGUGAUACUAAAUUUCUUAGCCACUUUUGGAGAUGUUUAUGGGCUAAGUUGGGGACUAAACUGCUUUUUAGUACUACUUGUCACCCCCAAACUGAUGGACAAACUGAAGUAGUCAAUAGAACGUUGUCUACUAUGCUUAGGGCUGUUUUGAAGAAUAAUAAGAAAAUGUGGGAGGAAUGCUUGCCUCAUAGUGAAUUUGCUUAUAAUCGUUCAUUGCAUUCUACUACUAAGAUGUGCCCUUUUGAAGUUGUGUAUGGUUUCCUACCUCGUGCACCUAUUGAUUUGUUGCCUCUUCCAUCUUCGGAGAAGGUUAAUUUUGAUGCUAAACAACGUGCUAAAUUGAUUUUAAAAAUGCAUGAGUUAACUAAGGAAAACAUUGAGUGUAUGAAUGCUAAAUAUAAACUUGCUGGAGAUAAGGGUAGAAAACAUGUUGUGUUUGCACCUGGAGAUCUUGUUUGUUUACAUUUGCGUAAGGAUAGAUUUCCUGAUUUGCGCAAAUCAAAGUUAAUGCCACGUGCUGAUGGUCCCUUUAAGGUGUUAGAGAAAAUAAAUGAUAAUGCAUAUAAACUUGAGCUGCCUGCAGAUUUUGGGGUUAGUCCCACUUUUAACAUUGCAGAUUUGAAGCCUUAUUUGGGUGAGGAAGAUGAACUUCCGUCGAGGACGACUUCGUUUCAAGAAGGGGAGGAUGAUGAGGACAUCAAUACAAUUGUUACACCCACAGCCCCUGCUGCUAUACAUACUGGACCAAUUACUAGAGCUCGUGCACGCCAACUAAAUUACCAGGUACUUUCGUUUCUUGGUAAUGAUUCUAAUGUUCAUGAGAAUAUGAUGCUGCCUAAAUUGGAUACAUUUGUUUUGCUUACAAAUGAAGGGCCUAGCUUGGAGAAGGAUGAACAUUGGAACAAGAACGGAGUUACAAGUGAUGAUUUCAGGACUUUGAAGCCACCAUAAUGUGUGCAUGAAGCCUUGGACGAAAUAUACAAGAUGCCACUUCAUAAAUUUCGUCCCGAGGCUAUUUUAGGUGCUGCGUCACCUUAUUAUUGGGCCAGGCCCAUGUAAUUUCGAAAUACAUAAGUAUAGGCUAUUUUUAGAGUCCGUAUGUGUGGGGAAACAAGAGAUAGGGUUGAUUUCGGACCCCUCCACCAAGGGCCACGAAAUCCCCCCCCCCCCCUCUUCCUCCAUAUAUACAGCCCUUAGGGCAUCGUUUAGACUUUGGGUUUUGUUUAGAUUAAAAGUUCGCCAUAGCUGCAACUUCGCGUACUUCGUUUGUGUUCAACGACCAGACAAAGGCGUCACAGAACCCCACCUUGAUCAAUAAAGCUUUCAUCUUAUAUUCGCAAUAUCCAGAUUGCAAUCUUAAUUUCUUGCUUGUUCUUCGUUUGCUCGCAGGAAACAGACCCUCGUGGUCAGGUUGAUCGUGCUCCGGCGUGGUCAAUAACCUCUCGGAGUUGGUUUAGCGAUUGCUAAGGCGCGACGUCCUCGCACGUUCGUAGUCGGAUCGUCAAAGUCGACUUCCACCAAAGCGAUAUCCAUCAUCUCAUCGAAAGACGGGACACCUUUGCCUCUAUCACUUUGUUUUAGGUUUACCUCGAACAAAGAAGGGGAGGGAUAGCAUAUUUGUUGUCGUGGAUAGAUUCUCGAAAAUGGCACACUUUAUACCAUGUCAUAAAAGCGAUGAUGCUGUUAAUGUUGCUGAUUUGUUCUUUCGUGAAAUUAUUCGCUUGCAUGGUGUGCCAAAUACUAUUGUUUCAGAUCGUGAUACUAAAUUUCUUAGCCACUUUUGGAGAUGUUUAUGGGCUAAGUUGGGGACUAAACUGCUUUUUAGUACUACUUGUCACCCCCAAACUGAUGGACAAACUGAAGUAGUCAAUAGAACGUUGUCUACUACGCUUAGGGCUGUUUUGAAGAAUAAUAAGAAAAUGUGGGAGGAAUGCUUGCCUCAUAUUGAAUUUGCUUAUAAUUGUUCAUUGCAUUCUACUACUAAGAUGUGCCCUUUUGAAGUUGUGUAUGGUUUCCUACCUCGUGCACCUAUUGAUUUGUUGCCUCUUCCAUCUUCGGAGAAGGUUAAUUUUGAUGCUAAACAACGUGUUGAAUUGAUUUUAAAAAUGCAUGAGUUAACUAAGGAAAACAUUGAGCGUAUGAAUGCUAAAUAUAAACUUGCUGGAGAUAAGGGUAGAAAACAUGUUGUGUUUGCACCUGGAGAUCUUGUUUGGUUACAUUUGCGUAAGGAUAGAUUUCCUGAUUUGCGCAAAUCAAAGCUAAUGCCACGUGCUGAUGGUCCCUUUAAGGUGUUAGAGAAAAUAAAUGAUAAUGCAUAUAAACUUGAGCUGCCUGCAGAUUUUGGGGUUAGUCCCACUUUUAACAUUGCAGAUUUGAAGCCUUAUUUGGGUGAGGAAGAUGAACUUCCGUCGAGGACGACUUCAUUUCAAGAAGGGGAGGAGGAUGAGGACAUCAAUACAAUUGUUACACCCACAGCCCCUGCUGCUAUACAUACUGGACCAAUUACUAGAGCUCGUGCACGCCAACUAAAUUACCAGGUACUUUCAUUUCUUGGUAAUGAUUCUAAUGUUCAUGAGAAUAUGAUGCUACCUAAAUUGGAUACAUUUGUUUUGCUUACAAAUGAAGGGCCUAGCUUGGAGAAGGAUGAACAUUGGAGCAAGAACAAGAACGGAGUUACAAGUGAUGAUAUCAGGACUUUGAAGCCACCAUAAUGGGUGCAUGAAGCCUUGGACGAAAUAUACAAGAUGCCACUUCAUAAAUUUCGUCCCGAGGCUAUUUUAGGUGCUGCGUCACCUUAUUAUUGGGCCAGGCCCAUGUAAUUUUGAAAUACAUAAGUAUAGGCUAUUUUUAGAGUCCGUAUGUGUGGGGAAACAAGAGAUAGGGUUGAUUUCGGACCCCUCCACCAAGGGCCACGAAAUUCCCCCCUCUUCCUCCAUAUAUACAGCCCUUAGGGCAUCGUUUAGACUUUGGGUUUUGUUUAGAUUAAAAGUUCGCCAUAGCUGCAACUUCGCGUACUUCGUUUGUGUUCAACGACCAGACAAAGGCGUCACAGAACCCCACCUUGAUCAAUAAAGCUUUCAUCUUAUAUUCGCAAUAUCCAGAUUGCAAUCUCAGUUUCUUGCUUGUUCUUCGUUUGCUCGCAGGAAACAGACCCUCGUGAUCAGGUUGAUCGUGCUCCGACGUGGUCAAUAACCUCUCGGAGUUGGUUUAGCGAUUGCUAAGGCGCGACGUCCUCGCACGUUCGUAGUCGGAUCGUCAAAGUCGACUGCCACCAAAGCGAUAUCCAUCAUCUCAUCGAAAGACGGGACACCUUUGCCUCUAUCAGACGACCUGGUGGUUGUGGUGCUGGUGGUUGCACAAAGUUCUGAUUUUGAUCAACCUCAUCCUCAUAAUCUCCCACAUAAUCAUCCUCCUCCACAUCAGCAGCAGGAGCCACAGAAGUAUCAACAGCAGCGCCAGCAGUUUGGCCAGGCUAAAGAGGAACACGGCUCGCUCGACGGAGGGUUGUUUCCCGACGUGGAGGUAGUCAUUGUUGUUGUUGCAGAGGUGCGGCAGGUGCAGCCGGUGGUGGUGGUGGUGGAAAACGCGAAAGCAAUUCAGCAAACUUGUUAUCGAGCUUUGUUUCAAACGUCUUCUCCAUGCCAUCUAUCUUCUCCAUGGCCUCGUCAAAUCUGUUUAGCACAUCUUGCACCUGUCCGCUCAUCAUUUGCUGAAACCUAUCAUGAAGCUCCUUGUUCGUCAAGUUCUCACAGUCAGUCUCGUCGGCUUGUGAUCCUGGCAUGGUUAGCCGCAAUAGAAACACACAAGAAUAUGAUCCUGCAGACUACUAACAAGUGGUGGUGGUGGCGGGUGUCACAAAUCCGUCAAGCAAAUCUCAAAUUCUUACCAGUUCUUACCCAGCAGCAGGCGGUGAUCGGCAACCGAUGUAGUCAAAACUCUCAAAGCUUGGAUAGAGCGAUUACCAGGGAGAGUCAAACGCACGAUGUAGAUGUAUGUGGAGCUGGGAAGGCUUAUAAUAUGGUAGCAAAAAGGGUCAGCAAUAAUCAAUUCAGAGAUGCAAAGUUAAAUAAACGCUCAACGACGGUACUGUGCUGGUCCUAGGCUAGACCGUACUAGAGACGUGAGCCUAGAACACUAACAAAAUCACGGCGCUGCACGUAAACAAGGGAGGAGCACACUCUGAUUUUUUUUUUCACUUUUUUUCCUCUCUUUUUUUUUACUUUUUUUCCUCUUUUUUUUGCUCCGCAACAAUUUUUUUUUUCGAAAAAGUCUACAAAUGUCCUAAAAACUGCCUAGCCAGAAUUUUCCAGACUUAGUUUUUUUUUGAAAUUGGAACUAUUUUUCUUCUAUGGAUGGCCCGGAAGUUGGGGAGUAUGGCGUGAUCUGGAAAUCCAAAAUAGAGUAACAAAAUACUGGACUCGGAAUAGGACUGGUGGCGGAGAUGAAUCUGGUGGAACUCGGACUGGUGGCGGAUAUAUGUUGCAGGUGGACUCAGAUUGGUGUGAUGGCGGCGGAUAUGUCGUGGCGUAUGUGGACUCGGAUUGGCGGUGAAUAUGUGGUAUAUGGCAGCAGCGAUGAUGAUGAUGCGGUGGUGAUAUAUGGCAGCGGCGACGUGACAACCUGUGAACAAAACUCGAAACUCUAAAGGACUAGACACUAAAACCAGCAACUUGACACGACGAUGCAACC